UUCCUCGUGGCCCAAUGGUCACGGCGUCUGGCUACGAUUUAAUAGCUACUUCUGAAACCAGAAGAUUCCAGGUUCGACUCCUGGCGGGGAAG
rnacentral:tRNA from 1 species